CAAGCAGAUUACGGUGUUUGUUUUCAUGCAAUCUCCAUAAAUUCUCCCAGGAAUGUGAACUGCGACUCCGCAUAACAUCCACUAAAAAAUGGGCAAGAAAGUAAUCCUCCUGACUAUCAUUAUUGCGGCAAUUUCAGCAUUUGUGGGAGAACGUGUGGUUAACCUCAGAAAGACGCUUCUUGCUAACAGGGAACUCAAGCAGAACCACCUCCCCAACUGUAGAUACAUUAAAGGUCUUGACUAUGGGUCGGAAGACAUCACAAUACUUCCAGGUGGACUGGCAUUCAUCAGCACAGUAAGUUGCAGGGCCUGUGGCUCUCCACAC